UCUGAAAGGCAAAAAUAUGAAGAAACAGCAGGUCAACACGGGCACCCGUGUGCCACAACACUGCCCGUGUUGUUGAUCAGGCAGAGCAAAAGAGGAGAAGAAAAACAGAGAUCAACACGGGCACCCGUGUGUCACCACACGACCGUGUUGAUUAAAACAGUGCAUUAACACGGGCACCCGUGUGGAGGAACACGGCCCGUGUUGUUGCCUCUGUAGCUUGUGCUGAA
rnacentral:lncRNA from 1 species